AAUGCAAGCCGACUUAUCGCUCCGCGCAGGCGGGGAGGAAAGUCCGGGCAACACAGAGCAUCGUACUUCCUAACGGGAAGGCUCCGGGCGACCGGAGACAGACAGUGCCACAGAAACAGACUACCCGCAUCGACGCGUUCGACGCGGGAAAAGGUGAAAAGGCGGGGUAAGAGCCCACCGGUAUUCCAGUGAUGGGAUGCGUCCAGGUAAACCUUACGCGUUGAAAGGCCAAAUAAGUCACAUGGCUCGUCGCAAGACCUGCCGUAGCUGCUCGCUAUCUACAGAGGUGUGACGGGUAGGCCGAUAGAUCGGCGCAGCGAUGCGCCGGCCAGAUAAAUGAUAAGUGCCCUGGCUUGCCAGGGAACAGAACCCGGCUUACAGGCUUGCAUUUUUC
rnacentral:RNase_P_RNA from 1 species